rnacentral:rRNA from 1 species
UACGGAGGGCGCUAGCGUUGUUCGGAAUUACUGGGCGUAAAGCGCACGUAGGCGGCUUUGUAAGUUAGAGGUGAAAGCCCGGGGCUCAACCCCGGAAUUGCCUUUAAGACUGCAUCGCUUGAAUCCGGGAGAGGUGAGUGGAAUUCCGAGUGUAGAGGUGAAAUUCGUAGAUAUUCGGAAGAACACCAGUGGCGAAGGCGGCUCACUGGACCGGUAUUGACGCUGAGGUGCGAAAGCGUGGGGAGCAAACAGG